GGAGGUAUAGAUCAAGUAGUAGAGUGCUUGCCUAGCAAGUAUGAGGCUCUGAGUUCAAACCCUAGUACCACCA
rnacentral:tRNA from 1 species